rnacentral:tRNA from 1 species
UAUACUUUAGUUUAGGAAGAAUGUCUGUUUUUGGUGUAGAUGGGGGUAGGUAUAG